CCCGGGCCCCGCCCGCCGCCUCCCCGUCGCCCUUCCCCGGCCGCUCGCGGACCGGGAGGAAGGUAGGGCGGGCGUCGCUCCCCCACGGGCUCGGCGCUCGCGCGCCUUCCCCCCGGGCGCGUGCCCCUAAGGGGAAGGGGCUCCGUGGCGGUGCGAGGCGGCGGCGGUCCCGGG